rnacentral:rRNA from 1 species
UGGGGAAUAUUGCACAAUGGGGGAAACCCUGAUGCAGCAACGCCGCGUGAAGGACGACGUAUUUCGGUAUGUAAACUUCUAUCAGCAGGGAAGAAAAUGACGGUACCUGACUAAGAAGCCCCGGCUAACUACGUGCCAGCAGCCGCGGUAAUACGUAGGGGGCAAGCGUUAUCCGGAUUUACUGGGUGUAAAGGGAGCGUAGGCGGCGAGGCAAGUCAGAAGUGAAAACCCAGGGCUCAACUCUGGGAUUGCUUUUGAAACUGCUUUGCUUGAUUUCAGGAGAGGUAAGCGGAAUUCCUAGUGUAGCGGUGAAAUGCGUAGAUAUUAGGAGGAACACCAGUGGCGAAGGCGGCUUACUGGACUGACAAUGACGCUGAGGCUCGAAAGCGUGGGGAGCAAACAGGAUUAGAUACCCUGGUAGU